ACGGCCAUAUCAUAUUGAAAACACUGGUUGUCAUCCGAUCACUGAAGUUAAGUAAUGUCGGUCAGUACUUGGGAAGGUGACCCCCUGGGAACACCAGGUGUAGCUGUGGGCU